GGUGCCGUGGCAGAGUGGUCUAAUGCGAUAGACUAGAAAACUAUUCUAUUGAAAUCUAUUCUCUUCGGAGGCGUCUGUUCGAAUCAGGCCGGCAUCG
rfam:Valsa mali var. pyri strain SXYL134 unplaced genomic scaffold scaffold00075, whole genome shotgun sequence.